GAUGAAGAACGCAGCGAAAUGCGAUAAAUAAUGUGAAUUGCAGAAUUCAGUGAAUCAUCGAAUCUUUGAACGCACAUUGCGCCCAUUAGUAUUCUAGUGGGCAUGCCUGUUCGAGCGUCAUUAAUUCCACUUAAGCCCUGCUUAGUGUUGGGAAUCUACUCUAGUGGUGCUACCCUGGAGCUACCCCUGAAAGGGGGCUGGCCCGGUAGCUACCCUGUAGUUCCUCAAAGAUAGUGCGCGGAGUUGCGUGGUCCUCUGAGCUUAGUAACUAUACACCUAGCUUUUGAGUGUCCCGCGGCGCCUGCCGUUUAAACCCCAUCUUUUAAUGGUUGACCUCGGAUCAGGUAGGAAUACCCGCUGAACUUAAGCAUAUCAAUAAGCGGAGGA
rnacentral:misc_RNA from 1 species